GUGAUCUUUCUCCUCUCCAGACAACAUCCUCAGCUGCCGCCGCUGACUCAGCCUCCCCGCCCUCCCCGUGGGUGGAGUAGGUAGGCAGCCCUGUCCCUGGGGUUGCAGUUGUAGGUGACAUAAGGGUAGAGUUGCAAACAUCUGCAGAUAUGAGACCUUUGAUUUCUCCCCAAACCCUGGGACAUUCACAACUCUUUCUCCUUUACCUGUCAGUCAGCCCCACCUUACAGUUCCAAACCCAGACAAUCAUCAGCUCCUUCUGUAGCUGGAACACAGUGUCCCUGGAGGCACAGAAGGGCCCAGCUAAAAUGGCCUUUGGGAUUAGCUAGUAUUCCCUUUGAGGAGAAACAGGACUGUCCACCCAUUCCAGGAGUCCUGGCUACAACAUCUGAAAAGAGAGCAACUGACAUCCCAGGGGACUUUCUUGUUCAGCACAGCAGACACAGCACCUUGGGUCUAUAAGAAGAGGUUUUCAUAUAGAAUAGUAAGAUCUCUGCCUUUAUGUCGAUGUAGUUGUAAAGUAUAAUUUUACACACACACACACACACACACACACACGCACACGCACAGUUUUCUGGAAAAAGGAGUCCACACAGGCAGAAUUGCCUAGGGCCCAUGAAAAUCAUGUCACAGCCCAGCUUAUAUGGGAAUCAGUUCUCUCGUCUAUAAAAUACAGAUCAUAAUACUUUCCACACCAUUCCACCUCCAGUUUCAUCAGUAUUCUGCCUAAACAUCACUGACCUUAACAGUUCCAGAUUUGAAACAUUUGGAAGCCCCCUAUGUAUCCAAUAUGUAACAGCUAGAUUCCUUAGUGCUGCAUUUGAGGCCUUUCACUGUUUUCCACUUGGAGCUUCUACCAUUGUCUCCUUGUACACAACUCUCCAGCUAGGAGCAUCAUACCUCGUGCUGCUUGUUCCGGGAACAGGCUGAACCUUGAGUUCCAGCAUGCCUUUGCACACUCAGGCCCCUUUUGCUUCAAAAGCAUUCCCUUCCCCUUCUCUGCCUGAUGGUGUCCUAUGACAGCACAGCUAGUGAAGUUGCCGCAUCCAGUGAAGAAGAAAACGUGGGGCUCCUUGCUGAAAACUUGUUGAGAAUUUCAAGAUGGUAGAGGAGAACAUUCAACCAUGUAUGGGGCUCUUCUGUGCUCACGGCCCUGUGGACCUGCCCAUGAAGCCAUCUCUGCCUACUCCUUUCCUGAGAUCAUCAUCUCAAAUGACACCUGAUUUUUGAAGCUGUUUUUACUCUCCAAGACCAGCAAUAGGAAGUCACAAAACGAAGCACUUCUUAUGCUCCAGGCAUCAUGCCAAGCACUUUACAGCCAAGGUCUCAUUUAAUCCUCACAACCACUCCAUGAGGAAUCUGUUCCAGAACACUUGGAAAACUCCUCCUAACAAGCUGAGGCUCAUUUGGCAUCACCUCUUACAGGAAGCCUUUCAUAACUGCUAGCUCUUCCAAAGGCUGAGUUCCCAUAACGUCCAGGCUCACCUCUGGCCCAUCACUUACUGUAUUUACCCCAACUGGGCUGAGAGCUCUUUGAAGGUAAAAACAGUAUCCAAGUCAUCUCUGGAUCUCCAGCCUCCAGCCUGGGACCUCUUUGGCAUCUGGAAGCACAAAUUAAUUCUCACAGAAACUCUUGGAGGUAGCUGCAAGAGCUGCUAGGAACCUCGAUUAGAGUCGUUACAUAUGGACCUUCAUGAAUCAGAGGAAGAAUGAGGCCUGGAGUCAUAAAGGGGCUUGACUGAAGUCACAGGGCUCAUGGCAGGACCAGUAUCAAAAUAGACCCAGUGUGCGGCAGGUAAGUGGCAGGCUUGAAGGAAUGACUAACUGGGUGUGUUAUAAAUUCCUGACUCUCUCCCCCUGCAGCCCUGCUAGGACCACUUAGUUUCCACCAUGGACACUCCACUGUCCUUAUCCCAUGGGCUUUUGCUGGGCUAUUAGAAUCAAGUUCUCCUUCUUCUUAGCUCCCCUCUGACCUUGUGCCUUGGACUUGCAAGCUGGUCUUUUGCCUGAGGAGGAUGAUCUUGUUAAAUCUCUAUUAUGCAAACCAGGACUCUGUUGGAGCCCCGCUACCUACCGUUUCCUCCAGUCGAUUUCCCAGAAGGCUAGAAUUUGGUCCCUGCUACCUUCUUUCCUGGCCAUUCCUAUCACCUGCUAUGAGACCUGAUAACUUGAUGUUUUCCUUGCCCCUGCGGAUACCCCUGUCAGCAUUGCCAAAAGACUUUGAUUGAUAUUUACUACUCUAGGCCCAAACUCCCUGUUGGCACUACACCUGGGGCAACUGGGGAUCACUAGUUCUGCCCGCUCUGCUCUUGGCAUCCUGGGUUCUCCUCUCCCCGUUCCUCCUGGUCAUACCUAAUACUGACACAUAAGUUGGCUUUUUAAGCUUGCUAUCUGUGUGACUUUUCCUUUUUCAAAACUGUCUUCCCUCUUCCAGUCAAGCAGUUCUUACUGGAUUAUUGACUUCCAAAGGCAGUGGUUCCCAAACUUAAGUGUACUUUAGAAACAUCUGGAGAGCUUGAUAAACAGCUUUGCACCCAGAAACUCUGGUUCAGUGGAUCUGGAGACAGGGCCUUGGAAUAUAUAUUUUUAAUGAGGCAGAUGCUGAGUGGACCAAAGUUGGAGAGAAGGUACGUAUUAUGGUAGUUAAUAAGAAUAACAGGAAUCUCACACAUGUGCAUUUUAUGUCAGUUUGUAAGAUAAUAUUAGUUCAUCUACCUCACCCUUGUGUUAGAACACAACAAAACAAUGAAACAAUACAAAAUACCUCCAUGAACUAGCAUAGAGAAUAAGGCUCUGGAGUCAGAGAAUCCAGGCCUUCACUUACUAACUAAAAGACCUUGGAGGAGUCACUUAACCUUUCUAACAUUGUGUAUAUCCAUCUAUUUAAUGGAGAUCUUAAUUCCUUAGAGCUUUGUUGUGAAGACUGAAUGAAAUAUUAUAAAAUGGCCAUUUUAAUAUCCAAUAUAUGUUUGAAGAAUUAAGGAAUGAAUAAAGCUGAUAUGUUUGGACAGCUCUCUGUUUGCCAAGAAGUGGGCUGAGGGCUUUAUAUGAACUCAGUUAUUUAAUCCUCAUAGCAGCCUGUGAGGCAGGGGUACCAGUUCCUCUACUUGGAGGCUCACCGACAUUAUGUGACUUGCCCAGGGUCCCUAAACUAGCGGCAGUGCUGAAAUUCAGACUCUGGCUGCUCUGACUUUAGAAAUGGAACUCUGAGCUGCCAUGUUAUCUAUCAUGCCACUCCAAAAUAGAACUGAUAGAGUCCUUAAAACAACUCCUUUGGCGUUGGAUCUCCAGCCCUGGUAUCACACUGUAGAAGGAUCGUGAGCCUGGGAAUGAGGAAAACGGCAGUCCUGGUUCGUCCAUUGAUGGCUACAUGAUUGAGAGCAAGCCUCUUCCCUCUCUGCACUGAGGAGCCAUGAUUCUACAGCUAAAUAUGAGGUGGCACAGAAGGCUGUUGGAAACAUCCACUGUGGUGUCCUAAAGGAAGCAGCUACAGGGUUGGGAGCAAAAGUGGGAUUUGGCAUCUCCUCAUUCCCAGCCUCUGGUAGGGAGUCCCUGGGGGAGAUUUACCCAGUCUGUCCUCUCCUUUAGCUCUAGGUUCCAGGGCCUGCUUCCCAGGAGAGAGGCAUGGGUAGGGACCCCUCGGCCCUGUGGUGGCAGGAAGCAACAUCUGCUUCCAGGGGGAUGGGACUGCCCAGGAGGUUAUCUCCUCCUGGGGGAUAGAUAGCUGAUGGCUGCCUUUUUUUUCACCGCCAGUGUCUACUGUUAUGGGGAAAAAUUAAAAUACAAAUACACCCAAACAGUAAAAUGGGCUGAUCAUGCAGAUCACUUGCUUAGCUGCUUUGGAGAGAGGUUUGCUCUUUCUGCCGGCAUGGAACCUCAAAAACAACCAGAGGGCCAGGAAGUCAACUAGGUUAGAAGAAGAGGAAACCUCAAACUAGAAUCCUUCCUGGCAGUGCAGGGCAGAGGUCAUUAAGAGUGUGGACUCAGGAGUCAGACUCUCUCAGGUUCCGGCCCUCACUGUGCUACCCACCAACAAUACGACCUUGAGCAGGUCAUUUGAUGACUUAGUGUCAGUUUCCUAAUUUGUAAAAUGUGGAUAAUAAUGAUACCUGCCUUGUGAGUCUCUACAAGGAACAAACACAAGUAAAGACAAAGGUGUGCCAUGUGGUAAAUACGCAGUAAACACAUGUUCUUUUUCAAGCCUGAGCACUUUGAGGGACUUGGUCUCCUCCUCCUUCAUCUAAUCCAGUUGGUCAAACUUUACUGAGCAGUUGCCAACCGCUGGGUAGAGUUUUGAGCAUCGGGCAUACAGGCAUGCAUAAGACAUAAUACUUGGCUCAACAGAUUUAGUCUCAAAUUUCUAAAAUCCUUGUUGACCCUACCACCCACACACAAAUAACAGUAAUGAUGAUGAUGACAAUGCACACCUCGUGACAUUUACUAGACAAUAGUUAUGUGUAGGCUCAGUGAUGGAUACUAUAUAUACAUUAUUUGCUGACAUUCAUAAUAAGCCUUUGGGAUAUGUACUAAUAUUCCCAUUGAUGAGGGAAACUGAAGCUGGAGGAGUGAAGGUUCUGCAGCUGAUGGACUGGAAUCCCAGGUUCUUCAGAUUCUAACAAGGCCUUCUCCUCCCCAAGCUGCCUCCUUCCAGUCUCCAACCCUCACAGGCAGGCUGGCACUUCUGAAUUUAAUUCCCGCAACCACUCUGAGAGGCAGAGACCUUUAUUAUCAGAUCCAUUUUCCCAACAACAGAAGUAAGAGCAGGUUAAGCAGUUUGCCAACUAUAGCUCAGCUAGCGAGCUGUAAAGACUCUGUGUGUCUUAAGAUCAAAUAAAAGGCAACUCUGAGGCUGCCGCUUGGUGAGAAGCCUUCUGCAGAGGCGAAAAAUAUGUGCAAACAAAACCAACAGCUUUCUUUAUGUUCCCCAAAGUUGCUAAAAAUGCCUGCGGGUUUGCACACAAGCAGACGUGCUCACAAUGCUGGGUGGCUUCUGUCUUCUUGGCUCCAGGAAGAAGAGACCUGGCAGGUAUUUCUCACAUCUUUGUUAAACACAUACAUUAGACAAGGGAAGGAGUUCCAAGGUAGUCCCAGGGUGUGGAUCUCUGCCAAGUUUCCUUUUAUUUAUUGUUAACUUAGAAAAAUAUAAAAGAUGCCUCAUGGAUAAGCCCAUAAUCCCUAAGGCAACUGUGGUGAAAAAUGUCUUCCCUCUACUUGGAAUCAGACAGCCCUGAUCCUGACUGGGGGGUCUUUUACCUACAAGCCCUGUGAUCUUGUCCAGGUUGCUUAGCCUCCCAGGACUAACCUCUGUCUGCCCAUCUGUAAAACAGAUAUGACAGUCCCUCCUGCAGGAAGGUAAGCUCCAUGAAGGCAGGCAUAGUUGUCUGUUCUGUUUGCACCUGCAUUCCAGUGCCUAGAACAGUGCCUGACACAGGAUCAGCGAAUGAGUUAAUGAACAAAUGAAUAAAUGAAUUGCUAUUUUCGCAGAGUUGUUGGAGGUUGAAAUAAGAUCAUGAUUAGGAAAUUGCUUUGCAAACUGCAAAUUGCUAUACAAAUAUAAAGAUUUAUUAUCACAGAACAUGGUCUGGGUUCUAUUAAAUAAAUUUAUCCAGUUAAUCAGUCAGUGAGUGCUUCCUGAGCUUCCUCUUGGGUCUGGCAUUGUGAAACAGAGAAAGAGGGGGCCUGGUUCCUUCCUUCAAGGGCUCUCAGUCCAGUAGGAGGAUAUACAAGUAAAUCAGGUACUGAAACACAGUAUAAGUAAGUGCGGGGUGCUAAGGGGGAAACAAAAAGGACUGAGUUCCCCCACUAGAAAGGAGCGGGUCAGGGAACUUUCUGGAAGAGGUGUUCUGGUCCUCACUCUGCCCAAGGGCAGAAGCUGAAGGGAGACUUCCGGAGACAUCCUCCCAGGUUGACUCACCAGGUGGGGUGAGGCUGGAGAUGGAAAAGUGACUGAGAGUCAGAGAGGGCCUGGAGAGCCAAGGUGCUUAUCAGGAGGGGCCUCGUGGUAGAAGAGAAAGCAUUUGGAAGGACAUGGUGGGAGAGCAUGGCUGGGCUUAUGGGCAGGGUAGUUCCCCUGGGGGAUGAGUGGAGGCCGUACCCUGUGAGGCCAAAGUCCCCAUGUGUGGUCUGCUUUAAAAGACACUGAGGAGGACCAUGGCUUCUGGAAGAAGAUGACAUAUACAACCCGGGCCGGCCUCAGCUGCAACAGAACUCUCCAGUGCGUUCAUUUCUCUUUUCAUUUGUUCAUUCAUCUGACAAAUACCAUGAGAGGCUGUGGAAGGUCUCCACUGGGCACCAGCGGGAAAGCACUCAUAAGAAGAGGCAGCUUCUUCCCUCACAACCUGUAGAGGAGGACAAAGCCAACAGAAGAUUCAUCCCCUUACCAUAUGUUGCUUUGGUGCUGACUAUGUGCAGCUGGUGGGGCCUUAAACAACCCCCUUGCCCCAGUACACACACACACAUAAACACACACAUACUGGCAUGGCACUCACAUUCCAGAGAGGGCUGGCAGGGAGAUAAGUGAGGAAAACACCCAGGGUGUCAGGAUGGGGGAAGAGCCAGGAGAAAAUGAAAGUGGAAUAGGGGACAGAGGGUUGGAGGGUGAGGGCGUGCACACUGAAGUGGGGGAUCUAGAAGGGCCUGCUGGGAAGAUGCCCAGAGCAAAAGCAGGAGAGGAGCUAGGGAACCUGUGCAUGGCCUCUGAGGGGCCACAGCAGCCUCCUUUCUGAAGCAGCAAGGCGGCAGCGUGGGGGCACAGAAGUGGAGGCAGUAUCAAAAGAGGUCUGCGGGGUGCAGAGAAAGGGGAAGUAGAUCGUCCAGGACCUUAUGGAUCAUUGUGAUGACUCUGGCUUAUAUUGUGUUUGUGAUGGGAGCCUUUGGAGGGUUUAAAUGGAGGAAUGACUUGGUGUGACUCUUCCUUUAACAGGAUUUUUUCUGGGGGCUAUGUUGAUAACAGAGUGCAGAGGAACAAGGAUGGAAGCAGGGACAUCUGUUAUGAAAAUGUAGGGACAAGCCAGGUGUAGGGACAAGCCUGGUGAGGGACAAGCCAGGUGAGGUGCUCAGACCAGGUGGCAGAGAUAGUAAGAAGUGGGCAGAUGCUGAACAUCAUUUGAAGGAAGAACAGACUAUAUUUUCUGACAUUGGAAAGAGGGUGUAAAAUAGAGAGAGGAGUUAAGAAUGUCUCUAAGGGUUUUGUACCUGAGCAAAUGGAAAGUUUGACAAGCCAUUAACUGAGAUGGGAGACAGCAAGAGAGGCAAUUUGGAGGUGCUGUGGGAGGUAGAAGACAGGAAAUUGAUUCAAAAAAAUUACUUCUGAAACUUUCUGUGGUUAAAGGAAACCUAUUUUAAAUACAAAGAUAUAGAUAGAUUAUAGGGACAUUCUAUAAUGAUAAAAAGGUCAACUUGCCAAGAAGAUAAACACUCAAAUAUACAAUGCAACUAACAAAGAUCCAAAAUAAAUGAAUCAAAAACUGAUAGAACUAAAAGGAUAUAUGGAAAUGUUCAAUUAUAAUUAGGAAAAUUCAAAAUUUUAUUUCUCAAUAAUUAAUAAAUAGAUGGAAAAUCAGCAAAGAUAUAUAAAGCCUGAAUAACACUAUCAACUGAUUUAAUCUAAUGGACAUUAGAUUAAUGGACACUACACCCAUGUACAACAGAAUACACAUGCUUUUCAAGUGCACACAGAGCAUAUGCCCAGAUAGAUCUUAUUCUGGGUCAUAAAAUAAACUUUAGGUGGCUGUCAAGAUGGCAGAAUAGGAACAGCUCUGGUCUGCAACUCCCAGAGAGAUCGAUGCAGAAGGUGGGUGAUUUCUGCAUUUCCAACUAAGGUACAUGGCUCAUCUAGUUGGGAAUGGUUAGACAGUGGGUGCAUCCCAUGGAGGGUGAGCUAAAGCUGGGUGGGGUGUUGCCUCAUCCAGGAAAUACAAGGGGUUGGGGAAUUACCUCCCCUAGCCAAGGGAAGUCAUGAGGAUCUGUGCUGUGAGGAAUGGUGCAUUCUGGCCCAGAAACUAUGGUUUUUCCACAGUCUUCACAACCUGCAGACCAGGAGAUUCCCUUGGUUGACUACACUACCAGGGCCCUGGGUUUCAAGCACAAAAUUAGGCAGCCAUUUGAGCAGACACUGAGCUAGCUGUAGGAGUUCUUUUUCAAACCCUAGUGGCCACUUGAAACAUCAGCAAGAUAGAGCAGAACAUUCACUCCCCUGGAAAGAAGGCUGAAGCCAGUGGCCAAGCUCAGUGGAUUCCACACCCACAGAGCCCAGCAAGCUAAGAUCCACUGGCUUGAAACUCUUGCUGUCAACACAGCAGUCUGAAGUCCACCUGGGAUGCUUGAGCUUGGUGGGGAGAGGGGCAUCUGCCAUUACUGUGGCUUGAGUAGGUGGUUUUGAGCUUGAGUAGGUGGUUUUUCCCUCACAGUGUAAACAAGCUACUGGGAAGUUCAAAAUGCACCACAGCUCAGCAAAGCCACUAUAGCCAGACUGACUCUCUAGAUUCCUCCUCUCUGGGCAAGGCAUCUCUGAAAGAAAGACAGCAGCCCCAGUCAGAGGCUUAUAGAUAAAACUCCCAUCUCCCUGGGACAGAGUACAUGGGGGAAGGUGUGGCUGUGGGUGCAGCUCCAGCAGACUUAAACAUUCUUGCUUGCUGGUUCUGAAGAGAGCAGUGGAUCUCUCAGCACACACUUGAGCUCUGCUAAGGGACAGACUGCCUGCUCAAGUGGGUCCCUGACCCCAGUGCAUCCUGACUGGGAGACACCUCCCAGCAGGGGUCAACAGACACCUCAUACAGGAGAGCUCUGUCUGGCAUAGGGCAGGUUCCACUCUAGAACAAAGCUUCCAGAAGAAGAAGCAAGCAGCAAUCUUUGCUGUUCUGCAGCCUCUGCUGGUGAUACCCAGGCAAACAGGGUCUGGAGUGGACCUCCAGCAAAUUCCAGAAGACCUGCAGCAGAGGGGCCUGACUGUUAGAAAGAAAACUAACUAGCAGAAAGGAAUAGCAUCAACUUUAAAAAAAAAGGAACAGCCACUUACAAAAAUCCUGUCCAAAGUCACCAGCAUCCAAGACUAAAGGCAGAUAAAUCCAUGAAGGUGAGGAAAAAUGAGCACAAAAAGGCUAAAAUUCCAAAAACCAGAAUGCCUCUUCUCUAAAAGAUCACAACUCCUCACCAGCAAGGGAACAAAACUGGACAGAGAAUGAAUAUGACAAAUUGACAAAAGUAGACUUCAGAAGGUGGGUAAUAACAAACUCUUUGGAGCGAAAGGAGCAUGUUCUAAUGCAAUGCAAGGAAGCUAAGAAUGUUGAAAAAAGAUGAGAGGAAUUGAUAACUAGAAUAACCACUUUGGAGAAGAAUAUAAAUGACCUGAUGGAGCUGAGAAACAUAGAACGAGAACUUUGUGAAGCAUACACAAGUAUCAAGAGCCAAAUCGAUAAAGCAGAAGAAAGGAUAUCAGAGGUUCAAAAUCAGCUUAAUGAAAUAAAGCAUGAAGACAAGAUUAGAGAAAAAAGAAUAAUAAAAAAAAAAAGCCUCCAAGAAAUAUGAAAGUAUGUGAAAAGACCAAACCUACAUUUGAUUACUGUGCCUAAAAGUGAUGGGGAGAAUGGAACCAAGUUGGAAAACACUCUUCAGAAUAUUAUCCAGGAGAACUUCCCCAACCUAGCAAGACAAGCCAACAUUCAAAUUCAGGAAAUACAGAGAACAUCACAAAGAUACUCCUCAAGAAAAAAAUCUCGAAGACACCUAAUCAUGAGAUUCACCAAGGUUGAAAUGAAGAAAAAAAAAUGUUAAAGGCAGCCAGAGAGAAGAGUUGGGUUACUCAUAAAGAGAAGCCCAUCAGACUAACAGCAGAUCUCUCUGCAGAAAUCCUAUUAGCCAGAGGAGAGUGGGGGCCAAUACUCAACAUUCUUAUAGAAAAGAAUUUUCAACCAAGAGUUUUAUAUCCAGACAAACUAAGCUUCAUGAGUGAAGGACAAAUAAAAUCCAUUACAGACAAGCAAAUGCUGAGAUAUUUUAUCACCACCAGGUCUUUCUUACAAGAGCUCCUGAAAAACGUACUAAAUAUGGAAAGGAAAAACCAUACCAGCCAUUGCAAAAACAUACCAAAUUGUAAAGACCAUUGACACUAUGAAGAAACUGCAUCAAUGAAUGGGCAAAAUAACUAGCUAGCAUCAUAAUGACAGAAUCAAAUUCACACAUAACAAUAUUAACCUUAAAUAUAAAUGGGCUAAAUGCCUCAAUUAAAAGACACAGAUUGACCAAUUGUAUAAAGAGUCAAGACCCAUUGGUGUGCUGUAUUCAGGAGACCCACAUCAUGUGUAAAGACACACAUAGUCUCAAAAUAAAGGGAUGGAGGAAGAUUUACCAAGCAAAUGGAGACCAAAUUUAAAAAAAGCAGGGGUUGCAAUCCUAGUCUCUGAUAAAAUGGACUUUAAACCAACAAAGAUCAAAAGAGAUGAAGAAGGGCAUUACAUAAUGAUAAAGGGAUCAAUGCAACAAGAAGAGCUAACUAUCCUAAAUAUAUAUGCACCCAAUACAGGAGCACCCAGAUACAUAAAGCCAGUUCUUAAUUACCUAGAUAGAGACUUAUACUUCCACACAGUAAUAGUGAGAGACUUUAACACCCCACUGUCACUAUUAGACAGUUCAACAAGAUAGAAAAUUAACAAGAGUCUUCAGGACUUAAAUACAGCUCUGGACCAAGCAGACCUAAUAGACAUCUACAGAACUCUUCACCCUAAAUCAACAGAAUAUACAUUCUUCUCAGCACCACAUCAUACUUAUUCUAAAAUUGACCACAUCAUAGGAAUUAAAACACUCUUUGGCAAAUGCAAAAGAAUGAAAAUCAUAACCAACAGUCUCUCAGACCACAUCACAAUCAAAUUAGAACUCAGGAUAAAGACAGUUACUCAAACCUGCACAACUACAUGGAAACUGAACAACCUGCUCCUGAAUAGGAGUGGAUAAGUAACAAAAUUAAGUGAGAUGGGUAAGUAACAAAAUUAAGGCAGAAAUAAAUAAGUUAUUUGAAGCCAAUGAGAAAAAAGACACAAUAUAACAGAAUCUCCAGGACACAGCUAAAGCAGUGUUUAGAGGGAAAUUUAUGGCACUAAAUUCCCACAGAAAAGAGCAGGAAAGAUCUAAAAUUGACACUCUAACAUUACAAUUAAAAGAAAUAGAGAAGUAAGACCAAACAAAUUCAAAAGCUAGCAGAAGACAAGAAAUAACUAAGAUCCAAGGAGAACUGAAGGGGAUGGAGACACAUAAAAACCCUUCAAAAAAUCAAUGAAUCCAAGAGUUUUUUGUUUUUGUUUUGUUUUUGGAAAAGAUUAACAAAAUAGGCCACUAGCCAAACUAAGAAAGAAGAAAAGAGAAGAAUCAAAUAGACACAAUAAAAAAAUGAUAAAGGGGAUAUCACGACUGAGCCCCCAGAAAUACAAACGACUAUCAGAGAAUACUAUAAACACCUCUAUGCAAAUAAGCUGGAAAAUCUAGAAGAAAUGGAGACAUUCCUGGACACAUACACUCUUUCAAGACUAAACCAGAAAGAAGUCAAAUCCAUGACUAGACCAAUAACAAGUUCUGAAAUUAAGGUAGUAAUUAAUAGCCUACCGACUGAAAAAAGCCCAGAGCCAGAUGGAUUCACAGCCAAAUUCUACCAGAGGUACAAAGAGGAACUGGUACAAUUUUUUUCUGAAAUUAUUUCAAACAAUAGAAAAAAGAGGGACUCCUCCAUAACUCAUUUUAUGAGGCCAGCAUCAUCCUGAUAACAAAACCUGGCAAAGACACAACAACAGAAGAUUUUAGGCCAGUAUCCCUGAUGAACAUUGAUGUGAAAAUCCUCAAAAUACUGGCAAACCAAAUCCAGCAGCACAUCAGAAGGGUUAUCCACCAUGAUCAAUUCUGCUUCUUCCCUUGGAUGCAAGUCUAUUGCAACAUACACAAAUCAAUAAACAUAAUCCAUCACAUAAACAGAACCAAUGAAAAAGCCACAUGAUUAUCUCAAUAGACAGAAAAGUCCUUCAAUAAAAUUCAACACCCCUCCAUACUAAAAAUGCCCAAUAAACUAGGUAUUGAUCGAACAUAUCUCAAAAUAAUAAGAGCGAUUUAUGACAAACCCACAGCCAAUAUCAUACUGAAUGUGCAAAAUCUGGAAGCAUUCCCUUUGAAAACAAGCACAAGACAAAGAUGCACUCUCUCACUACUACUAUUAAACAUAGUAUUGGAAGUUCUGGCCACGGCAAUCAGGCAAGAGAAAGAUAUGAAGUGUAUUCAAAUAGGAGGAGAGGAAUUUAAGUUGUCUCUGUUUGCAGAUGACAUGAUUGUAUGUUUAGAAAACCCCAUCAUCUCAGACCAAUAUCUCCUUAAGCUGAUAAGAAACUUCAGCAAAGUCUCAGGAUACAAAAUCAAUGUGCAAAAAUCAGAAGCAUUCCUAUACACCAAUAAUAGACCAAUAGAGAGCCAAAUCACUAGUGAACUCCCAUUCACAGUUACUACAAAGAGAAUAAAAUAUCUAGGAAUACAACUUACAAGAGAUAUGAAAGACUUCUUUAAACUUACAAGAGAUAUGAAAGACUUCUUUAAGGAGAACUGCAAACCAGUGCUUAAGGAAAUAAGAGAAAACACAAAUGGAAAAACAUUCCAUGCUCAUGGAUAGGAAGAAUCGAUAUCAUGAAAAUGGCCAUACAACCCAAAGUAAUUUAUAGAUUAAACGCUAUCCACAUCAAGCUACCACUGAAUUUCUUCACAGAAUUAGAAAAAACUACUUUAAAUUUUAUAUGGAACAAAGAAAGAGCCUGCAUAGCCAAGGCAAUCAUAAGCAAAAAGAACAAAGCUGGAGGCAUCAUGCUAGCUGACUUCAAGUCUACAGUAACCAAAACAGCAUGGUACUGGUACCAAAACAAAUAUAUAGACAAGAGGAACAGAACAGAGGCCUUAGAAAUGAUGCCAUAUGUCUACAACCAUCUGAUCUUCAAGAAACCUAACAAAGACAAGCACAGGGGAAACGAUUCUUUAUUUAAUAAAUGAUGUUGGGAAAACUGGCUAGCCAUAUGCAGAAAACUAAAACUCUACCCCUUCCUUACAUCUCAUACAAAAAUUAACUCCAGGUGGAUUAAAGAUUUAAAUGUAAGACCUAAAACCAUAAAAACCCUAGAAGAAAACCUAGGCAAUACCAUUCAGGACAUAGGCAUAAGCAAAGACUUCAUGACUUCAAAACACCAAAAGCAAUGGCAAUGAAAGCCAAAAGUGACAAAUGGGACAUAAACUAAAGAGCUUCUGCACAGCAAAAUAAACUAUCAUCAGAGUGAAAGGCAAACUACGGAAUGGGAAAAAGCUUUUGCAAUCCAUCCAUCUGACAAAGGGCUAAUAUCCAGAAUCUACAAGGAACUUAAAUAGAUUUACAAGAAACAAAUAUACAAGAAAAAAAACAACCCCAUCAAAAGUGGGCCAUGGAUAUGAACAGACACUUCUGAAAAGAAGACAUCUAUGCAGCCAACAAACAUAGAAAAAAAAAGCUUAUCAUCACUGGUCAUUAGAGAAAUGCAAAUUAAAACCACAAUGACAUACCAUCUCACGUCAGUUAGAAUGGCGAUCAUUAAAAAGUCAGGAGACAACAGAUGCCAGAGUGGAUGGGGAGAAAUAGGAAUGCUUUUACACUGUUUAUGGGAGUGUAAAUUAGUUCAACCAUUGUGAAAGACAGUGUGGCGAUUCCUCAAGGAUAUACAACCAGAAAUACCAUUUGACCCAGCAACCCUGUUAUUGGGUAAAUACCCACAGGAUUAUAAAUCAUUCUACUAUAAAGACACAUGCACACGUAUGUUUAUUGUGGCUCUAUUCACAAUAGCAAAGACUUGGAACCAACCCAAAUUCCCAUAGAUGAUAGACUGGAUAAAGAAAAUGUGACACAUAUACACCAUGGAAUACUAUGCAGCCAUAAAAAAGGAUGAGUUUAUGUCCUUUUCAAGGUCAUGGAUGAAGCUGGAAACCAUCAUUCUCAGCAAACUAACACAGGAAUAGAAAUCCAAACACUGCAUGUCCUCAUUCAUAAGUGGGAGUUGAACAAUGAGAACACAGUACACAGGGGAGGGAACAUCACACAUUGGGGCCUGUUGAGGAGUGGGGGACUAGGAGAGGGAUAGCAUUAGGAGAAAUACCUAACGUAGAUGACAAGUUGAUGGGUGCAGCAAACCACCAAGGUAAAUGUGUACCUGUGUAACAAAUAUGCAUGUU